UUAUCCCUGGCAGAGACCACUGAAUUAUCUCUAAAUCACACGGUAUCUUGAAAAUUUUUAUCCAAUUAUGAGAAUGCCUCUUUCUAACCACACAUGUGAUUACUAAAAUAGGUAUUGAGAUACCACAAAUUAGUGAGAACUUUAUCUUUGGAAGUAUAUGCCAUCAAAAGUGAAACCUUUUCUUCCUUUCUUUCGCGUCUUCCUUUCUCACUGCAAAAUUAGAUCUGCCUCCACGAUUCUUAUUUAAAUUGGCACGACACUCAGAUCGGUAGUGUUCAAAUUGAUGGCAUUGAUAGCAUUCAAGUUGAAACUUGGCAUGUCUUUUUGCCCUUUUCUUU
rnacentral:lncRNA from 1 species